GGUUGAGUUCCUCUUGUCCAGUGAGUAGGUAGGUAGUCAGGGUCUUUGCACGCGCCACUGAGGGCCCAAGUUCAGAGGAGCAUUGCUACCAUAGGCUGGGGGAGGAGCAGUGCUGGUGUGGAGGCCGGGCAUUCAGAUCUGGGUUCCCUACAGGAACUCCCCUACAGGUGACCUAUAGGUGACCCCUGCACCUACCCUCCCUACACCUUGGGAGCUUUUACGCCGGAGUUGCGGGUCAGUCAUUUCUCUUUGGACCCAUGCUCCUCCCCAUUUGUUCACUUCCCUCCUAGUGUGCAUGGUUCUGGGCCUGCCUCACAGGGAAGCGAAGGCUGUGACCCCUGCCCUGCACAAGUGCUCCACCAAAACCCAUCCGGAGGAAAGAGGCCGGCUUCGGGGAGCCCCGCCCCGUUCCACCCCACCCCAAGCUGCCAGCAGCCUUCCAUUCCACCUGCUGAGCUUCAGCUUAGCAUCCCUGCUGGAAACCGGGUGGAGUGUCAUCUUUGGUCACCAGGUCCCAUGAGGACCUGGGCAACAUGGUGCCCACCGGCCAGAUGGCAGAAAAGCAGGCAGGUGAAGAGCCCAGGCAAGACCGUGAGCUUCAGUCAUGGCGGUGCCUAGUGUUCUAUCUCUGCUUCUUUGGAUUCAUGGCACAGUUGCGUCCUGGGGAGAGCUUCAUCACACCCUACCUCCUGGAAUAUCACAACUUCACAGAGAAGCAGCUGACCAACGAGAUCAUCCCGGUGCUUCCCUACUCCCACCUGGCUGUGCUGGUGCCAAUCUUCCUGCUCACCGACUACCUGCGGUACAAGCCGGUCCUGGUCCUGCAAUGCCUGAGCUUCGUGUGCGUGUGGCUGUUGCUGCUGCUAGGCAGCUCCGUAAUCCACAUGCAACUCAUGGAAUUCUUCUACAGCGUCACCAUGGCCGCACGCAUCGCCUACUCCUCUUACAUCUUCUCCCUGGUGCACCCCUCCCGCUACCAGCGCAUGGCCAGCUACUCUCGGACAGCAGUGCUGCUGGGAGUCUUCAUCAGCUCCGUGUUGGGCCAGGUGCUGGUCACCCUGGGACAAAUUUCCCUCAGGACUCUCAACUACAUCUCCCUGGGCUUUAUCGUCUUCAGCCUAGGCCUCUCCCUCUUUCUAAAGCGUCCUAAGCGCAGCCUCUUUUUCAACCGCAGUGCGCUUGUCCACGGAGCUUUGCCCUGUGAGCUGGACCAGAUGCACCCGGGCCCUGACCGACCAGAGCCCGGGAAACUCGGGCGUGUGCUGGCCGCUUGCAGGGACUCCUUCCUGGUGCGCAUGCUAAGUGAACUGGUGCACGAUGCGUGGCAGCCACAGCUGCGCCUCUGGUGCCUCUGGUGGAUCUUCAACUCUGCAGGCUACUACCUGGUCACCUACUAUGUACAUGUCCUGUGGAAAAUAACUGACAGCAGUGUCACCUACAACGGUGCCGUGGAUGCCGCCUCCACCCUGCUGAGCGCCAUCAUGUCCUUCUACGCCGGUUUCGUGAAGAUUCGCUGGGCUCUGUGGUCAAAGCUGGUCAUCGCAGUUGUUAUAGCCAUCCAGGCUGGGCUGGUUUUCUGUAUGUCAGUUGGGAACAUCUGGAUAUGCUACGUGGCCUUCGUGCUUUUCCGUGGGGCCUACCAGUUCCUUGUGCCCAUUGCCACUUUUCAGAUUGCAUCUUCCCUGUCUAAAGAGCUCUGUGCAUUGGUCUUCGGGAUCAACACGUUUCUUGCCACUGCGCUCAAGACUUCCAUCACACUUAUUGUCUCUGACAAGCGGGGUCUGGGCCUCUCGGUUGACUCACAGGCCGAACCCAGAACCAGCAAGUCUUGCCUGUCCCAUUGAAUGGUAGAUCCAGACCAAGCAGGGUACAUAACUCCUCAUCACUGCCCAGCUGCUCUUGGGUACACAGAAGGCAGUGGCUACCUCACAACCUCCAGGUGCAUGCAUGUGGCAGGUCCGGUCACUCCAAAUGGUUGCUGCUGACUUGGUGAGGGUAAGACAUGGGGUCGCUGUCAUAGUGUCGGGUUAAAAUUUCUCGCCAUGAGUCUUGCCUGGCCCCACCUAAAAGGUCCUCCCCGCUUAGGUCCUUUCAGAGGAACUUGAGUGGCAGAUAUCUGCUCUCUAGCUGGGCUAUAUCUGUGUUGGACUUUUGGCUGCUUCAAUUCCAAGAUCCAUGAAGGGGGUGGGGGAAGCCCGGCACUUGCCACUCCUUUAAUGGGUCCUGAGGUCUGACUGGCUGACACUGCUCUCCACCCAGCCCCAGCAGGCGUUGUCCACAGCAUUCAGGGAUUUGACUGGCACAGGAGAAAAAUGGGAAAAGGAUGUCAACUAUGCCUUCUUGGUAACCAGAGUCCCUAACGGUCAUUUCUGAGUUUGCUUUAAAUGUGAUCUUUUCUGAAAGGGUCUCAGGGGGCUUCAGGAAGCUCACCUGCCUCCACUGGGACUGUACAUUUGGCAGUUAUCAGUUUCUGCUCUGGGGGGAAACAGAUCUGGUCCUUCGGGAAGGGGCAUGACCUGUGACUGCCUGGUCCCUCUUGGCCAGUACUGUGCAGUGCUGGCUCGAGGCCGUGCCCAGUCUUGACUGUAGCCAGGGCCUAGAAGCCCUGGGCCAUUGUCCCAGUGCCCUCCUGGCAGCUGUGGAAGCCAGUUCCAUGAAAAGAGCCUGAGGACCAGCUCUGGUGGACCACACAGAUGCCAAACACAUGCUGGGUUCUCUGGGGAUCUUUGGGGAAGUGUUAAGUACCCCUUUUGUGGUUUACCAUGCAUUGAGAGAAAGAGGGAACGAGCCAUCUUGGGGUCUACCCCUGGGCAAGGCUUGUGACUGCUCAGUAUCCUCCGGCCACCCAGGUGUUGGAUGAUGAAGAACCUCAGGAUUCACUGGGUAGGGCAAAGGUGGGGAUGGAUGGAAACCUUGAGGUCACCUAAACUCUC